UGUGAAACAAUUAACAUAAGCUCCGUAGAGCUUUUUAGCAACCCUUUUUCAAGAACAGUUAAAUACACAGAGCUAACUUAAUUCUGUUUUACUGUUACAGUAAAUAAUAAUUAAAGACACUGAUUCUGGUGUGCCUGGUAUGUGGCCUAUGGGGAUGAUAAGGUCUGGUAUUGGAGAUUGGUACUUGAAAGUCAAUGGUUGAUCAUGAUGACCAUCUUUAAUUUAAUGGGGAAAGAUUAACCAAUAUUUGCAGCUGGAGAGGCUAUCACCACAGUUCAAUGACUUAGUUAAGACAAUGAAAUAGAAGAACUUCAUGCUAACACUUGCAUCAGUGGAAGUACUUCUUAUUGGAUAGAGAACUUUACAAGGUCAGCCAUCAGCUUUUGAAGUUGCUUUCUUGGCACAUCAUGCUGUCCAGUGGAGUUCAUACCAUAUGCCAGGCCUUUAUACAUGGUCAAAGAAGAUAAAUUUGUUAUUCAAUUUGUGAAAUUUGAUUUAAGGAGGACUUUCAUAUAUGAUGAUUAUAUUCAGCAGAUUAUCUUCAAGUGUGCACUUCAUAGAAUCACAGUUUCUAGGAGGUUUUCAGUUUAAAGUCAGAUUAAUUGAAAAAUAAGUAAACGUAUCAUACUCACCAUGGCAUCGGCAUUGGCAUUACACCAGUUUUAAGUUUUUCUUACCAGUCCAUAUUUUAAAAGGACCUUUUGAAAGUAUUGAAACUUACAACAGUAAUUUAUCAUCAUUAUACCAUGUUUUAGGCAAAAGUACAUAACUCCAUCAAGGAUUUGACUGAACUAUGGCCCUUUGAAACUUUUGUCACUUGUUUAUAAUAAUAGUCUCUAUAGGCAAGAGUUAAUAACACUAUAGAGUAAUUUGGUUGAAUUAUGUCCCUUUUGGACUUUGAAAUUGGUUCAGUUUUUGUACAAGUCCACAUUUUGACAUAUAGCUUUGAAUCUUUCAACACCAAGUCUUACCAUUACAAUAAUAUAACUUAAAAUAGUUGUUCAACAUCAUCACCCACAUCAUAUGACACAAGAUGCAUAACUCUUGCACCAAAAUUUAAUAAAUUAUGCCCUUUUUUGCUUAAAAUAUACUUGUAUAGUGUUUUGAUACACUUUAUCUUUAUCUCUCAUAUUACAUAAUAUUUUAAAACAGACUUAGUUAUUAUGCAAUAUCUUCAUCAGCCAUUGGAGCCAUUAGUUGGUGUUUAGAUCCUAUAAUUGUAAAACAUAAAAUAAAUGUUGAAAGUUUCAUAAAA
rnacentral:lncRNA from 1 species